GAAACAUUUAUCAAGAGUUUCAAUCCUGUGAAGUAUACUCUCCGGUUCUGGAUGGACAAUCUCUCCCCAAUUUUCAAGAGAUCUUUCAAUCACUGAUGGAUCAUCAGUAAUCAACGUUCCAAGUUGUUCCUCAAUUAAGGGAAUUUUUGCACUGUGUGAGUAAUGUGUAGCAAGCCCACAGGAAAUCAUUUCUGCUCCACUGAUCUUAUCUCCAGUAAGGGCCAGGUACUCUCCCAAAUAACCAGGGAGGCGAGAAAGGUAAAAUGAAGCCCCAGCAUCAGGAUGGUAACCAAUCAAUGUUUCUGGUGUGGCAAAAACAGUUUUCUCAGUUGCGAUACGGAAAGUUCCAGGAAUAGAGAUGCCAGCCCCACCACCCAUGGUAACUCCAUUCAAAAGAGCAACAUGUGGCUUCAAGUAUGUGCCAACAACAUAUAUUAAGCUAUAUAUUGUCCAACAGAAUUCUUUACAAUCUUGAAAAUUCCCUUGUUUUAGCAAAUUAUAAAGAGAGACAAUGUCACCACCAGCAGAAAAUGCCCUGUCAUUUCCCUUCAAUACCACGAAUCCAAUAUCAGGAUCAUCUUCCCAAUUUUUGUACAGCUUCAUCAACCUUGACGCAACUGAAUAAUUGAUGGCAUUUAACGCAUGGGGUCUGUUAAGAAUUGCUGUUCUUGAAGAAGCUUUCCCCUCCACUAAAACUGUGCUUUCUGGUUCAUCGAUUAGGACAUUGCUAGAAACACCGCAAAAGCUUCUGGACUGAGAAACCAACCGUGAUUUCUGCAGAAAACGCCUCAAAAUAGAUGUCGAUUUGAAGCUCUGCAUAUUUCUGUUAACCAAAUGUAAAGUUUAAAUCUUUGUCUUCUUUACUAUUACUUAUACAAAAACAGCAAAAUGGAGAGCUUAAAAAUCACAGAU
rnacentral:misc_RNA from 1 species